AUGUUCACUGUUAUAUUCAUGUGUCUGUGGCUUUCACUAGGUGACUCCAUGGCAGAUUCAAUACAGCCACUUUCCCCUCGUGAAGUUGUAGAUGAAGGUGAUAAUGUUACUCUGUCCUGCAGCUACAGUGGUACAGUAAGAAACCUGCAGUGGUACAGACAAUAUCAAAAAUCUAAACCCGAGUUUCUUCUUUAUGUUCAUGAAAGUGGAGAUAUGAGUCCAGAUCUCCCCCCAAGAAUGUCUGCUAAAGUUACUGGAGAUAACCGAGUGGAUCUGCUCAUCUCCUCUGCUGCUGUAUCAGACUCUGCACUAUACUACUGUGCUCUG